AAUAAAGUAAGCUAAUUUUAAGCUAUUGGGUUCAUACCCCAAACAUGAUUUUAAUAAUCCUUUAUUA
rnacentral:tRNA from 1 species